rnacentral:rRNA from 1 species
GCGGCGGACGGGUGAGUAACACGUGGGUAACCUGCCUGUAAGACUGGGAUAACUCCGGGAAACCGGGGCUAAUACCGGAUGCUUGUUUGAACCGCAUGGUUCAAACAUAAAAGGUGGCUUCGGCUACCACUUACAGAUGGACCCGCGGCGCAUUAGCUAGUUGGUGAGGUAACGGCUCACCAAGGCAACGAUGCGUAGCCGACCUGAGAGGGUGAUCGGCCACACUGGGACUGAGACACGGCCCAGACUCCUACGGGAGGCAGCAGUAGGGAAUCUUCCGCAAUGGACGAAAGUCUGACGGAGCAACGCCGCGUGAGUGAUGAAGGUUUUCGGAUCGUAAAGCUCUGUUGUUAGGGAAGAACAAGUACCGUUCGAAUAGGGCGGUACCUUGACGGUACCU